rnacentral:rRNA from 1 species
AGUGAACGCUGGCGGUAGGCCUAACACAUGCAAGUCGAACGGCAGCACAGUAAGAGCUUGCUCUUACGGGUGGCGAGUGGCGGACGGGUGAGGAAUACAUCGGAAUCUACUUUUUCGUGGGGGAUAACGUAGGGAAACUUACGCUAAUACCGCAUACGACCUACGGGUGAAAGCAGGGGAUCUUCGGACCUUGCGCGAUUGAAUGAGCCGAUGUCGGAUUAGCUAGUUGGGGGGGUAAAGGCCCACCAAGGCGACGAUCCGUAGCUGGUCUGAGAGGAUGAUCAGCCACACUGGAACUGAGACACGGUCCAGACUCCUACGGGAGGCAGCAGUGGGGAAUAUUGGACAAUGGGCGCAAGCCUGAUCCAGCCAGACCGCGUGGGUGAAGAAGGCCUUCGGGUUGUAAAGCCCCUUUGUUGGGAAAGAAAAGCAGCAGGUUAAUACCCCGCUGUUCUGACGGUACCCAAAGAAUAAGCACCGGCUAACUUCGUG